rnacentral:ncRNA from 1 species
UGGAAACAAGGGGAUGGGGUUCCCCAAAACCGCCCGACAAGGGCUGAUGACUCCUGCUGUGUG